UAAAGAGGUCUCAAGCGUUGUUCGGAUUCAUUGGGCGUAAAGGGUGCGUAGGCGGUGAGGUAAGUCGGAUGUGAAAUCCCGGGGCUCAACCCCGGAACUGCAUUCGAUACUGCUUUACUUGAGGACUGGAGAGGAGAUUGGAAUUCACGGUGUAGCAGUGAAAUGCGUAGAUAUCGUGAGGAAGACCAGUGGCGAAGGCGAAUCUCUGGACAGAUCCUGACGCUGAGGCACGAAGGCUAGGGGAGCAAACGGG
rnacentral:rRNA from 1 species